AUGGAAGAAGAAAUUGAUGAAACUGUGAGCUCAUUGGAUGAAAAAGAUGAGGAGGAGAGCGAAGAACAAAAGGAGGAAGAGCGGAUUAGCUACCCGUGCCCACCUUCUAAUGAGAGUAAGUCUUCAACUCAUACAUUAUUUAAUUUACCUUCGUGCUUACCGAAGGAUGAUUGCUAUGAUGACUUUUAUGAUCCCGUUGAUUCUCUUGAAAUAUCCCUUUUUGAUGAUGCUUUCUAUGCUUGUGGCCAAGAUGCCAAUAUGAAUUAUGCUUAUGGAGAUGAACUUGCUAUAGUUCCUUAUGUUAAACAUGAAAUUGUUACUAUUGCACCCACACAUGAUAGUCCUAUUAUCUUUUUGAAUUCUCCCGACUACACUAUAUCGGAGAAGUUUGCCCUUAUUAAGGAUUAUAUUGAUGGGUUGCGUUUUACUAUUACACAUGAUGAUUUUGAUAGAUAUAAUAUGCAUGUGCUUGCUGCUCCUACUUGUAAUUUUAUGAGAGAGGAACUAUAUCUCCACCUCUUUAUGUUUCCCACAUGA
rnacentral:rRNA from 1 species